rnacentral:pre_miRNA from 1 species
UUAACUCAAAUUUGUAUGGAGUUGGAUAGUUUGCCGCUAGGGGCGCUGUUCCAACUUCUUACAAAUUUGAGUAA